GUUGUAGACACGUUGAUCUAGCUUAGCAUUUAAAGCAAUUCAAAUUUCUAAAUUCUGAAAGGUUGAAUGAUCCUUUAGCUGGCGAAAAAUUUGUGCAUAAGGAUUAACAUCCAUUAUUUGUCUUAUUAUUGCCACAACUUCUUCAGAUAAAUUGGCUUCUUUGAGUUUUAAAAUCCUAUUGCAUACCUCAUUUUCUGUGUCAGAAAAGCACAACUGAAACUAACAUGGAGUACCAUCAUGUGGAAUUAAAGAGGGUAGAUCAUGAUAUAUUUUACCCUAUGCUCUAAAGUGCUACUUCCGAUCGUGAGAAAAAUAAGUCGUAAAGUUGAGCUGGAACUACAACAUUUGCAAGCUUGAUUGAUCCACCGUCACAGCAGAAAUUCGGUGUUUCAUCUUCAAACCUCAUAGCCCGACAAUGUGUGCAUUGAGGAAUAUUUUCCAACUUGUGAACAGACGAAAUUGAUGGUAUGUAGUCAAUUUCACCUAAAUUUAUGGAGACAUUUUAAAAAAAUUAAUUAAUAAUAAAUGUAGCACAAAUCGAAUGGAUAUAUUUGUAAUUAAUAAAUUAUUAUUGUAUUACCUUCAAUAUCAUAUCGUUUGGAAAGAGCUUUCAAGAACCAAUUUAUUCUGCAUUUUUUAUAAGUCUUUGUUCUUCAAUAUCAAGAUCUUUUGUGGAUUGAACCCUUUUGUUGGCUGCAAAGAGAAACAAAUACUACAUGUGUUAAUGCUACACUUAAAAGUGUGGGAAAAGUCGAAGAUACACUUAAGAGAUCAACAAUUUCACAAAACUUCUGCAGAUUUAUUGAUAUUUCCCGAGAAAAUAUUGGGCUCACAGUUAUAUAUUUUGGUCUAACAAUUGAGUAGCAUGGGAUAGAAAUUGAAAUGUCGCAACAUUUCUUCAAUUUGAAAAAUAUAGGUGGACAAACAGGCCCUAACUUCCAUACACAUUGUUUCAACGGCAUGCGGCACUAAGUAGCUUUACCACAAGUUUUAUAUUAUAUAUAUAAAACUAAACACUUGUUUCAUAUUUGUUAUGUUAAGUUUUGCACUUCAGUACGCUUAUGUAUUGAUUCUGUGGGAGUUUUGUUUUAGCCAGUUUUUUAUGGUGAUCUAGCUUUUCUGAUUUACUUAGUAGUAUCUUUGGAAUAGCUAGUUAGUGCAACUUACUGUGAUGGAAAUGGCACCUCUCCAGCAUCUGCUAACAUAGCAUCGUUAUAUGUGUAUUCUGGUAAUGAAAAUUCUAAUGUCAUUGCAAAUGGUGGUGUAGAGAGAUAUACUGGGUCAAUGAUUGUAAGACCUACAUUUUAGAACUCAUCCUUAAAUGCUUAUGGUUAUUAUGGACUGGAUACCUUGGCUGGAGGAGGUGCUUCAAGUUAGCAAGACCCUAGACUUGGUUUUGAUGGUUUGUGAACAUUUUCUCAUUCUAUGGAUUCCUGGAAUGGUUAUUUGGGAUGUGGUAGGCUUAAUCUUUAGUUUGUCUUCUAUUCUAAUGCUUUUCUCAUGCUUUGUUGUAUGGACAUUCCAUCCUUUUUCUUUGCAAGAUUAAAAAGAUUUAUAGAGUUCUGAUAUUGUGCAGGGUCUAUAUGACAACAAAUAGCAGAGAUCUUUAUAUCCAUUGUAUUUUCUAAGUUGGAUAAAUAAAUUUUGUAAUAGGAUUGUGAACUCCUUCGGUCCUAACGUUGUAUUCUACACAACUUGCUGGUUCUAAUUAUCACUGUCAUGAGGUAAACGGUGUUUUUAAUGGAUAGUUUUUAAAUUUUUUUGUUUUGCUAUAUGUGAGUUGUGCCUCAGUUUAAUUUAUUUCUAUCUUUUUGGCAAAGCCUCAACUAACUUUUACUGAUUACACGUUCUGACUUGUAAAACAUCUGUUUAAUGUAGACAAUUAUGUGAAUUUUAUGAAUGUGCAGUUUCUUGUGGUGUCCUUUAUGAAUAUAAGAAAGAAAAACUAACUGGAAUUAAAUAAAUCAAUUGUUGUAAGGAAACAAUGUGACCAUUGUAUUUGUUGUUUGAGAGGAAAAAGUAAAUAUAAAUUGCGAGGUAAUUAGUACCUGAAUUUAUUAGUUUACUUUCUUGUUCAUGAGCAUUGUUGAUUCCAUUAGUUAAAUUUAUUGUAUUUGCAGCAAUAUAUUUGUCAUACCUUCGAAUGGCUCGGAAAAUUUUGUGUUGAUCUAUAUUGAAAAAAUAACAAAAUUUUUUAUCAUAGUUGUAUACAAUAGACAAAAAUAUAAUAAGUUUAUUAAUUAAUUUUAUAUCUACCUUGUGUCAUGUAUUUAAUAAAUAAUGUCCUGCAACAUACAAUAAGUGAUUAAUAACAUAUAUUGUAAUUAAAUAAAAACAGAUAUCAUAUAAUUAGAUCAAAUUAGAAGCACACAUUUAGCAAAUGUUAAUAACAAAUAUUAGUUGAUAUGCCAGCACAAGUUGCUUAUAUUAUUUAAAAUAUCAAAAAUCUAAAUAAGCAAUAACUAUCUAGAACCUAAAAUUAUUUGAGCUUAACCUAAAAAGAAAGUAGCUAGAUUUAGAAUGGGAAAAAAGGUGGUCUUUUUUCAUAGAGAAUAAAGCAUCACAAAUCCUUUUCAAGUUUGACCUUUUAGAAGCUAUUGGGUCUUGAGUAGCAUCCUCGUGGACUGUUAUCUUUUUGGGUCUUCUUGAUUGUAUUUUCCGACUCUACUUCUUCAUCUAGUACGUCAACUACAAUAGGAUUUUUAAUCUCGUGUACUUCUUCAGCAAUGAAGCGUCGUGCAGCUCGAUCUCUGGCAUAUUUUGCAUUAAGCCUGACAAGAAAUGUGUAUUCUUUUGUGGUACUUAGCAUCAAGGUACGAUAAAAUGGACUUGAUAAAAUAGGGAUUCUUCAUUCUGUAUCAAAGAAGAAAAUGUAUGAGUAAGAAAAAUAAAUUUUUAUUUAGGACUUUUCUAUUAAAGAAGCUAUUUAGAAUUGAAAGAAGCAAGUAAAAAUGGAAAAAAAGGACAUAAACAUAGAAUACCUGUUAACUGAACUUAAUAAUUAUUGUAAAGACUUUUUUUGAUGUAUAACAUUUGUAUGUCGCUUAGAUACCUAGAGUAGGUAGAAAAUUUUGAUGAUUUACGCUCUAGAACAGUAGGAUAAUUUAUCUCCUCUUCACCUCUAAUUUUUAUGCUUUUAUGCUCACAAAACAUAAUGACGACUAAGAUUUCGAUAAUAGACACAAGAUAUACCUAUAAUGAGGAAAUUUAGCGACCUCUUUUUUAAG